rnacentral:rRNA from 1 species
AGAGUUUGAUCAUGGCUCAGGAUGAACGCUAGCGGCAGGCUUAAUACAUGCAAGGUCGAGGGGGCAGCGGGUGUAGCAAUACAUGCCGGCGACCGGCGCACGGGUGCGUAACGCGUAUGUAACCUACCUUUAACUGGAGGAUAGCCCCGAGAAAUCGGGAUUAAUACUCCAUAAAUUAUGAGAAGGCAUCUUUUAUAAUUAAAGCUCCGGCGGUUUUAGAUGGGCAUGCGUGACAUUAGCUAGUUGGUGAGGUAACGGCUCACCAAGGCUCCGAUGUCUAGGGGUUCUGAGAGGAUUAACCCCCACACUGGUACUGAGACACGGACCAGACUCCUACGGGAGGCAGCAGUAAGGAAUAUUGGGCAAUGGACGCAAGUCUGACCCAGCCAUGCCGCGUGAAGGAUGACAGCCCUAUGGGUUGUAAACUUCAUUUGUACGGGAAAAAACCUUCGAACGUGUUCGAAGCUGAUGGUACCGUAAGAAUAAGCAUCGGCUAACUCCGUG